GGUUGCGGACACAGGUCCGCGCUUAGGUUUAACCCUGCGGGCGCAGGUUGCGGACACAGGUCCGCGCUUAGGUUUAACCCUGCGGGCGCAGGUUGCGGACACAUGUCCGCGCUUAGGUUUAACACUGCGAGGGCAGGUUGCGGCCAGUGGGUCUGCGUCAUGUUAACCCUGCAGUGCAGGUUGCGGCCAGUGGGCCCGCGCAUGUCUAACCCCGCAGCCCGGAAGCGAUUCCGGCGCUCAUCAUGUCCCCAUGUUAAUCUCUCUUUUCAUCCAUAGAUCUCCGCAGCCAGCCGCAAGGUAAGGAUUGCUCACAGCUCCGUACUUCAUACUUCACUUCUUUUGGGGGUUCAUCAGAGCGGUUCUUUCCCUCCUGAAUGAUCAUCCUGCAAACCCGGGGCCUAAUCGCCAAAACAUCAUUACAGUUACUUGUUGUAAUACGUCAAUCACUAUUCCCGCAUAUCAUGUGUCCCGAUAAUAAACAUGUACUCAUACA